GGUUCUAACAGUAAAUAGCAGGCAAGUGAAUGACAAAGCAGAAAUGAUAACAGGCAAUCAAAUGGAUAAACGAUUCCUAAGGAUGGGGUAAUCGUAUAGCGUGGUCUACUUGAUCUAUUCAGGCGGUUGACAAAACUUCACAGAAGCUAUCCCUAGACAACAAGUUCAACAACAGAUUAAUUCACUCCCGUGAUAGAAAUCCUCAAGCAAAGCUAGACACUGACCUAAAUCUCUUUAGCGAUCUCUAACUAAGCAGGCAUUAUCGAAUCAACAUGUUAAAGUUAAUACCCUCUCUUCAGCCAAUCCCUUGGGGUAGAGUCAGAUAUCUCUAGAAUUAAUAGGAUCCAACGCCCAUUAAACGCCUUCUGAGCGCUGGACGUCUGGACUCAUACUCCAGAUUAGCCAGUGAAACAAGCAAUAAGCGCAACUAAUCUAGAAGGGAUUCUAGUAUUCUAAACUCAACCACCUAAAACGACCAAGUAAACCACAACUAUUCUAUCCCAUCCUCAGAAAUACAGUUCACUACUCGGACAUAAUCAAAGACAAUAGCAAAGCAACAAUUGAAAACAUGAUAACAGAAAUGACGAAAGACUUAAACGAAAACUGAAUAACAAAUACUUGAAAGUGAAAAUACAAAGUCGCAAGAGAAACACUGCGUCUAUCAAAGUUGCAAAAAUGUAAAAGCGAGAUAAUAAUGGAUAAUAGCGGAUGCCCUAGGGAAAACCCUAAGAGGCAGUUUAUAUAAGCGAAAAAUGAAACAAAUAAGGAAACUAAAUAUAUAGCAAAUCUUCACGUCAUGAUCCUGCGACCGAAUGUGUCAUUGGCAUCUGACGGGCUGAAAUGAGCUUCCUAGUGAUCGAGUAUGUCAUUGAUCAAACUGGGCUUCAGGGGUUCUGUUUUGCGAUCGAGUGAGAUGUAGUGAACUCGAGAUUGAAUGAUCUAGCGACCCUGUGUCGAGUGCGAUCGAGUGGAUGUCAUGAGGUGGUGAUCGAGUGGUUUCUUCGGCUUCUUUUCUCUUCUUUGUUCUUAGCUUGUCUGGUUGAGUGCAGAACGAGCAGAUAGGCUUCUUGGUGGUCGAGUGGUGAUCGAGUGGUCCUGAUGGGGUGAUUCCUCCGGCUUCGCGAUUGAGUGAAACUGAGCUGCUUGCUUCUCCGGGGUUGCGAUAGAGUGAUUUGCCCUGGCAGGGCUCCGAGGCUGCGAUAGAGUACUUUUGCUGAAGGCGUCAUUGGGCAUUCCGACUUCAUGUUCUGUUUUUCCUCUGUUUGAACUCCAAAAGCAUCCAAAGUACCUGAAAACAACCAAAUAUGCCAUGCACAUGCAAUCCUGAUGCAAAAUCGUCCUAAGUAUGUAAAACACACUGAAACGACUCCUAAUGAGAUGAUUUGUGGAUGAAACAAUGACAAAGUGGUGAAGAAUGAAUGCCUAAAUCAUGCAAAUUAUAGACAUAUCAAUAUGCAUUCUUAACGAGUUCGAUUGUUCACCUUAGUAGCUAGGCCGAUUCUUAUUACGCACCUAAAUACCAAGCUCAUCAAAUAAUAGAUUCAACUACAGAUACCUAUGGCGGGCAUAUCUAUUGUCUAGAUUCAAGAUCUAGUUAAUUACUCUAGAUCUAGCAUUAAGCAUAAUUAAAGAUGAAGAAUUCUACAGAAAACCUAGCAAAAGGGGCAAUCUACUAAACCAUAUGAAUCCCUAAUGAGAAACCCUAUUCCUAACAAGCAGAUUACUCAGACAUAUUGGAUGAAGCAAACAACAUAUUUGAGUAUGAAACAAAAACACAGUGA
rnacentral:sRNA from 1 species